rnacentral:rRNA from 1 species
GGAGAGAGAGUCAAAAAGACCGCGAAACCGUUAGGAGGGAAGCGAAUGCAGCUGAAUUAGCUCUGCUCAAGUUCAGGAGUGAUGUUGAUUGGCGAUGCCAGUCUGCAAGAGCCGACAGGUUUUGCUCUCGGGAUAGCUGUCAACUCCUCUGCACUCUUGUGCAAAGCUGGCCAACAACAGUUGCCCGUGGCUGAGAAGGGCUGUUGGGAAGGUAGUUACUCCUCGGAGUAAAACUUAUAGCCAUCCGUCUGGUAGUCCGGGGGUGACUGAGGAUAACUGGCAGUGCAGGCCUCUGGCUUGGGCCGCUUCUGGCCGUUUGGGCACCGCGAUAGGGACUGCGUGCAGUGUCUGUUGACGGAUGUCUGCUCGGACGGGAGAUUGGUCACACCUUGCGCUGUAGUUGUUGGUGAUCAAAUGGCUGCAUCCGACCCGUCUUGAAACACGGAACGUCUCAUCCGACCCGUCUUGA